UACGGGGGGGGUAAGCGUUGUUCGGAAUUACUGGGCGUAAAGGGCUCGUAGGCGGCCAACUAAGUCAUACGUGAAAUCCCUCAGCUUAACUGGGGAACUGCGUGUGAUACUGGAUGGCUUGGAUUUGGGAGAGGGAUGCGGAAUUCCAGGUGUAGCGGUGAAAUGCGUAGAUAUCUGGAGGAACACCGGUGGCGAAGGCGGCAUCCCGGACCGAUACUGACGCUGAGGCGCGAAAGCGUGGGGAGCAAACAGG
rnacentral:rRNA from 1 species